AUACAUGCAAGUCGAACGAUACUAUCCAGCUUGCUGGAUAGGAAAGUGGCGCACGGGUGCGUAACGCGUAUGCAACCUACCUUAAUCAGGGGGAUAGCCCGAAGAAAUUCGGAUUAACACCGCAUAAAAACACAGGGUAGCAUUACCUAAUGUUCAAAUAUUUAUAGGAUUAAGAUGGGCAUGCGUGUCAUUAGCUAGUUGGCGGGGUAACGGCCCACCAAGGCGACGAUGACUAGGGGAUCUGAGAGGAUGACCCCCCACACUGGUACUGAGACACGGACCAGACUCCUACGGGAGGCAGCAGUAAGGAAUAUUGGUCAAUGGAGGCAACUCUGAACCAGCCAUGCCGCGUGCAGGAAGACAGCCCUCUGGGUCGUAAACUGCUUUUAUUCGGGAAUAAACCACCAUACGUGUAUGGUGCUGAAUGUACCGAAGGAAUAAGGAUCGGCUAACUCCGUGCCAGCAGCCGCGGUAAUACGGAGGAUCCAAGCGUUAUCCGGAUUUAUUGGGUUUAAAGGGUGCGUAGGCGGCUUAUUAAGUCAGGGGUGAAAGACGGUGGCUCAACCAUCGCAGUGCCCUUGAUACUGAUGAGCUUGAAUGAACUAGAGGUAGGCGGAAUGUGACAAGUAGCGGUGAAAUGCAUAGAUAUGUCACAGAACACC
rnacentral:rRNA from 1 species